rnacentral:rRNA from 1 species
UACAGAGGUCCCAAGCGUUGUCCGGAUUUAUUGGGCGUAAAGCGCUCGCAGGUGGUUCAUUGCGUCGUGCGUGAAAGACCCCGGCUCAACUGGGGAGGGUCGUGCGAAACGGGUGAACUAGAGGCCAGUAGGGGGAUGCGGAAUUCCGGGUGUAGUGGUGGAAUGCGUAGAGAUCCGGAGGAACACCAGCGGCGAAGGCGGCAUCCUGGACUGGUCCUGACACUCAGGAGCGAAAGCGUGGGAGCGAUCCGG